rnacentral:rRNA from 1 species
GAUGAACGCUGGCGGCGUGCCUAAUACAUGCAAGUAGAACGCUGAAGGAAGGAGCUUGCUCUUUCCGGAUGAGUUGCGAACGGGUGAGUAACGCGUAGGUAACCUGCCUGGUAGCGGGGGAUAACUAUUGGAAACGAUAGCUAAUACCGCAUAACAGUAGAUAUUGCAUGAUAUCUGCUUGAAAGGGGCAAUUGCUCCACUACCAGAUGGACCUGCGUUGUAUUAGCUAGUUGGUGAGGUAACGGCUCACCAAGGCGACGAUACAUAGCCGACCUGAGAGGGUGGACGGCCACCCUGGGACUGGGACACGGCCCAGACCCCUACGGGGAGCAGCAGUAGGGAAUCUUCGGCAAUGGACGGAAGUCUGACCGAGCAACGCCGCGUGAGUGAAGAAGGUUUUCGGAUCGUAAAGCUCUGUUGUAAGGGAAGAACGAGUGUGAGAGUGGAAAGUUCACACUGUGACGGUAUCUUACCAGAAAGGGACGGCUAACUACGUG